UUUGGGAUAUGUCAAUCCUCAAUCGUAUAUUUUGCUGUUCAUCAUUGGAUUUAGAUUAAGAAGUAUUUUCCAAUAUUAAUUUGCUUCAAUAAUCAUAAUCCAAUAUGAAUCUUUUUUGGGGUGUAGCUAGGUCUUGAAUCUUAAAAUGUAGUCAAAUGUAGUUAAGGUUAUAUGCAAUGUUUCCAGUGUGUUUUUAAAAUGUAGUCAAAUGUAGGUAAAAUGUAGUCAAAUGUAGUCAAGAUUAUAUGCACUGUUUCUAGUGUGGUUUUAAAAUGUAGUCAAAUGUAGGUAAAUGUAGUUAAGGUUAUAUGAAGUGUUUCCAG
rnacentral:lncRNA from 1 species